UACGUAGGGGGCAAGCGUUGUCCGGAAUCAUUGGGCGUAAAGCGCGUGUAGGCGGUCCGGUAAGUCCGCUGUGAAAGUCGGGGGCUCAACCCUCGGAUGCCGGUGGAUACUGUCGGGCUUGAGUACGGAAGAGGCGAGUGGAAUUCCUGGUGUAGCGGUGAAAUGCGCAGAUAUCAAGGAGGAACACCAAUUGCGAGGCAGCUCGCUGGGACGUUAACUGACGCUGAGACGCGAAAGCGUGGGGAGCAAACAGG
rnacentral:rRNA from 1 species